rnacentral:rRNA from 1 species
AUUGAACGCUGGCGGCAUGCUUUACACAUGCAAGUCGAACGGUAACAGGGUGCUUGCACCGCUGACGAGUGGCGAACGGGUGGGUAAUACAUCGGAAUGUACCCAGUAAUGGGGGAUAACGCUUCGAAAGGAGUGCUAAUACCGCAUACGCCCUGAGGGGGAAAGUGGGGGACCGCAAGGCCUCACGUUAUUGGAGCAGCCGAUGGCUGAUUAGCUAGUUGGUGAGGUAAAGGCUCACCAAGGCGACGAUCAGUAGCGGGUCUUAGAGGACGAUCCGCCACACUGGAACUGAGACACGGUCCAGACUCCUACGGGAGGCAGCAGUGGGGAAUCUUGGACAAUGGGCGAAAGCCUGAUCCAGCAAUGCCGCGUGCGUGAAGAAGGCCUUCGGGUUGUAAAGCACUUUUGUCCGGAAAGAAAUGGCUCUGGUUAAUACCUGGGGUCGAUGACGGUACCGGAAGAAUAAGGACCGGCUAACUACGUGCCAGCCGCCGCCGUAA